CAGUUCAAAUUUCUUUACUAAGUCUGUGAACCUAGGAAAGUUAUUUGACUUUUCUGCAAUGCCAUUUUCUCACCUGUAAAAUAAUAAUGGUAAUAGCUUGCCUUGCAGGGUUGUACAGAAUUACAUGAGAUAAAAAUACAUAUUAUGUGCUUAGUUCAUACGGUGUCUAACCCUACAAAGAAUGACCAAUACCAGUUACUGCCAUGUCAAAAUUGGACAAACUAUCAUCACUGAGGCUAUGUGAGGCCCUAAGUAUUUUCGUUUGGCCUUAUCUUUAACUGAGUAAUACAAAACUGAGUUCCUGAAAAAUCUCGGAAACAAUGAUUCUUUGGUUCUCACCACCACCAUAUUGGGAAGUCCCUGAUCUUCACAUGUCAGAUUCUAUCCAACCAAAUACCCCUCAGAACUUUGGAAUGGAAUUUUUAUAGUGACUCCAUGGACCUGGGGAGCCUGACUGGAAGCAGGGGGUUCAAAUUGUCCUUGGAUCUUAUCAGCACCUCAGAAACGUUACAGCUAGGGUCAGCUACCAGGAAGUGGAAGUCUAGCCUCUUAAAUUUGUUCCUGCGUGGAAAUAGGAAACCUCUGAGUUUUUAUAACCCUGAAAAUCUCAUAGCGUAGCCCUGAUACUCAGCUUCCCUUAUCAGAAAUAAAGACCACUCUCCAUUUAGAGACUGGCCAAAGAGACUCCCGCUGUUGUACCAAUACGGUUGCCCUUUGACCCCAGGAAUUUCACUGUGCCUCCUCUCUGACCACAAAAGAUUUACUCCAACUCCUCAGGUAAAUGUCUCUCUUCUGAUAAGGAACCAAGCUCCAAAGAUCUUCAAAGGUUUAAUAUUCACCUUCCAGAAGUUUUUAUCCACGCAACUAGUCGUCUCUUCAUACUCUCUUCACAGAACCUGAGGCAUUAGGAGUUGCUCAGUAGUUGCGGAGUUAUUGCAACUCGGGAGCCAGACUAUGACAGUGAGCUGGCUUGUGCUUGUGGCACCUAAACACUGUGUUUUGAUGAAGGAAAGGAAGCUUUCACAGAUGCAGCAGGGACUUGUGUUUGAUGAGGUGAGCACGGUGCGAGGGAAGCUACCUGUCUAGGAUACUCUGAACAUAAAAUGACAUGUCAUGAGGGCAAUCAUGACAGAACAGCCUCCAACCUAAACAGUGUUCUGGUGCAAUAGGAUUUAUUUUCCACUUUUAAAACUUUUUUUAAAAAUAACAUGGUUAUUGAAGAAAAAUAUCAUAAUAUAGAGAAGUAAAUUAAAAAAUUAAACUUUUCCCAGAAAGCCAUCACUAUCUAGUAUUAAUGCUGUAAAAUAGAUCCUCCUAGUCUCUUUUUAAUGUACAAAUUCACUUUAUAAAAAUGAUGCCAUGGUAAGCAUUCUGAUAUGUAAUCUGCUUUUUACCUAGUAUUCUGUGGACAUUUUCCAUAAAUAUUUCUCAUAAUAUUAUCUUUACUAACUUUUGGUAAUGUUUUAUUAUUGUGUCACAAUGAUUUCACCAAGGAUGAAUUGUCAAUAUUUAGAUAGUGUCCAGAUUUUCGGAAUUAUAAAAAUAGUUUGAAUUACACUGUAGGUAAAUGUUUGUUCUUAACCAAUAUCCAUUUGUUAUAAUAAACUCCUAGAUAUGAUACCCGCUGGGUGAAAGGCUACGUGCAGGACUGUGUUCACAUGCGCUGCUAUGAACAUUCCUAUACAGGACUCCUGUGAGCAGAUGCAAUGGUUUGCCUCCUGUGAGUGGGCUUUCUGGGUCUUAGGUAAAUGACCAGAUGAUUCAGUUUUCCCAUUUCAAUCCCAGUUUACUGGGACUUUCUUUUCUAAGGACUCACCCUAGAUAAAAUAGUACCCCCAUUUUAUUCUCAAAAGUAUUUUGGUUGAGGCAGCACUGUAUAGGCAUCUCCUCCUGGGUAGAUGAAUGCUUACCUUUAAGAGAUAAAGAAAAACUGUUUUCCAGAGUUGUUGUGCCAACUCAAAUCUCCCCAACAGUGUAUAAGCAACGCCACGGAUCUGUUGUCAGACUUUUUGCUUUUAAUGAAACAGUUAUAAAAUGCUAUUUUAUAACCAUAUGUUAAAUAUACUUCAUCUUGUUUUACAUUCUAAAUUUCAUCAAAGAUACAUUAUAAUUGUACAUAUUUAUGGGGUACAUGUGAUAUUUUGAUACAUGCAUACCAUGGUAAUGAUCAAAUCAUGGUAAUUAGGAUAUCCAUCACCUCAAAGAUUUGUCAUUUCUUUGUGUUGGGAACAUCUCAAGUGUUCUUUUCUAGCUACUUUGAAAUAUACAAUAAGUUAUUGUUCACUAUAGUCACCCUACGAUGCUAGAAAACAUUAG